CACGCCGUAAACGAUGAGUGCUAGGUGUAGAGGGUAUCGACCCCUUCUGUGCCGCAGUUAACACAAUAAGCACUCCGCCUGGGGAGUACGGCCGCAAGGUUGAAACUCAAAGGAAUUGACGGGGGCCCGCACAAGCGGUGGAGCAUGUGGUUUAAUUCGACGCAACGCGAAGAACCUUACCAGGGCUUGACAUCCUCUGAAUCUCUUGGAAACAAGGGAGUGCCCUUCGGGGAGCAGAGAGACAGGUGG
rnacentral:rRNA from 1 species